UACGAAGGGGGCUAGCGUUGCUCGGAAUCACGGGGCGUAAAGCGCACGUAGGCGGGUCCUUAAGUCAGGGGUGAAAUCCCGGAGCUCAACUCCGGAACUGCCUUUGAUACUGGGGAUCUUGAGUCCGGAAGAGGUGAGUGGAACUCCGAGUGUAGAGGUGAAAUUCGUAGAUAUUCGGAAGAACACCAGUGGCGAAGGCGGCUCACUGGUCCGGUACUGACGCUGAGGUGCGAAAGCGUGGGGAGCAAACAGG
rnacentral:rRNA from 1 species